UCUAGAGAUUACUCCUACGGGAGGCAGCAGUGGGGAAUAUUGGACAAUGGGCGCAAGCCUGAUCCAGCCAUGCCGCGUGUGUGAAGAAGGCCUUUUGGUUGUAAAGCACUUUAAGCGAGGAGGAGGCUACUUGGAUUAAUACUCUAGGAUAGUGGACGUUACUCGCAGAAUAAGCACCGGCUAACUCUGUGCCAGCAGCCGCGGUAAUAAUCGUCGAC
rnacentral:rRNA from 1 species